UAUCACUUCUACUCAUUUUUAUCUUAUCCUACUGUGUACCCUCAACCAUGUAAUAAUUCCUCUACAAAAUAACAAAAAUAAUAACCCCUAGCUAGUUUUAUUUAUCCUAACAACCUACCUAAUCAAAAUAGAACACAUCACCCCUACCCCACAUGACCCCGGGAUAUUUCUUCCUCACAAAGGAAAAGGAGGCGGGUAAUUUUUUUUGGAAGGGGGAGAUACACAGAAAGGACCAUGAGAGAGAAAAAUGGACAGGAUUUUCACUCUUUUUCUUAAUAGAAUAAUCCACAUACACAAAAAAAUAAAAAUGAACAUCAAUCUUCUUCUCCAUAGAAGAUACAGAGAACUAAUACAGAGACACACAUUAGAAUACCUCAUAUACAGAUACUCAAAAAUUACACUUCUUCAUUUUCUUUUUCUUGGACUAUUCACCUCACAAAUCAAACACACACAGGAGACGCACAACUCGCUCUCGUGCUCACACACACACGCACAGAUCGGGUGAGAAGAGAAAAGAGAGAAGAGAGAAGAUUGAGUGAUAGAGAGGGGGGUUUGAGAGAGAAAUCGAAGUAGGGAGAGAUUAGGGAGGCAAACGGAGAAGGAAUAACGGUAUAAACCCAACGCCUCGACUGUUUUCCGGUGAACCUUCUCGCCGAAAUCGGUUUACGAGUUGUCUCGCUGAUCGGCCAAGCUUGAAACUCAAAAAAAAUUCUUCAUUUUCGUUGUUCAGUUCCGUGUCGUGAUCGACAGUUUUGGGUUCAGCUGUUUUCGCAUCUCCUUGUCGAAAUCGGGUUGCGGGUUCAUCGGUUUUUGCUCCGGGUUUGGAAUUUGGUUUUGCUUUUCGUGUCAAUCAGUCCUCAAGACCAGUUUUGGGGUUUCAAAUCUCUCAAUAUUGAAUUUGAAGUUGGUCGCUGAGGUUCUAUUGGGAAUUCUAAGUCCGGGUGUUCUUAAUUUUAUUAUCAAUGAAAUCGGCUCUUCAAAGGUCGAUAUUGAAUAAGGCAAAGAGUAGGUUCGGGUAAGCAAAAGUAGGACUGGUGAUUUUGAAUGUAAAAAUAUUUGUUGAAUGGUUUUGAUUUUAUGAAUUUGAUUCAAAUGUAUUUAUUUGGCCGGGGAAUGCCUCGAAGGAUCUGUAUUGAUUUAUCCGGGGAAUGCCCCGAAGUACCUUGUACUUGGAAGAUGUUCGUGGUGAAGGCUCGAGGCAUUGGAUGAAGUAGUGGAGCGUAGUAUAGGAUUAAUCUAGAGUAGAGUAGAUUUAUAUUUCCACAUUAUUUAUUCCUGGACUGUAUAAUUUGGACUGGACAUUAUUUUGGUUUUAAAUUUUCUUUGAUUUGUUUGU